rnacentral:rRNA from 1 species
UGUUCCAGUUGUCCUGCCAGGGGCAUCGCUGGGUAGCUGUGUCCGGAUGGGAUAAGCGCUGAAAGCAUCUAAGCGCGAAGCCCACCCCAAGAUGAGGUAUCCCACUGGGUUAACCAGGUAAGACCCCGGGAAGAUGACCCGGUUGAUAGGCCCCAGGUGUAAGGGUGGUAACACCUUGAGCCGAGGGGUACUAAUCGGUCGAGGACUUGACCGCAA